UCGUAACAAGGUUUCCGUAGGUGAACCUGCGGAAGGAUCAUUAAAGAGUUAGGGUCUUCUCAGGCCCGACCUCCCAACCCUUUGUCUAUUGAACCCUUGUUGCUUCGGCGGGCCCGUCGUUAUACGGCCGCCGGAGGACCGACUCCAGGUCCUCUGGCCCGCGCCCGCCGGUAGCCAAAAUCACCAAACUCUUGAAUAAUCGUGUCUAUGAUGUCUGAGUACUUUUAUUAAAAUUAAGCAAAACUUUCAACAACGGAUCUCUUGGUUCUGGCAUCGAUGAAGAACGCAGCGAAAUGCGAUAAGUAAUGCGAAUUGCAGAAUUCCAGUGAGUCAUCGAAUCUUUGAACGCACAUUGCGCCCUUUGGUAUUCCGAAGGGCAUGCCUGUUCGAGCGUCAUUAUCACCCCUCAAGCCCUCCGGCUUGGUGUUGGACGGUCUGGUCGAGCUGCUCGACCCCUCCCAAAGACAAUGACGGCGGCCUGGUUGGACCCCCGGUACAUGGAGCUUCUUGAUUGAGCACGUAUCGGUUUCAAGGCGUCCCCGGGACCCGGUCUCACUCUCUCCCCUCGCGGGAGGGAACCCCCCUUUUUUCUAAGGUUGACCUCGGAUCAGGUAGGAAUACCCGCUGAACUUAAGCAUA
rnacentral:misc_RNA from 1 species